CAGUUUGGAGGACUCUAACCUUGAUUUUCCAGCUUUGAGCUCCCUCUGGAAGCGCAACAGCAAAACACUAUCAAGAAACUGCCUCCUGGCUAACAUUCUCAGCAAACCCUCAUGGCUAUUUACGGAAAUGAGCAGCCCAACAACAGAGCAAGAGAGAUCAUGAUUCACAGAUCGUUUACACAGACUCGGAGACCAACACGUCUUUGGACUGAAAAAGAUGAGCAGUCUGCAGCCUCCAGCCUCACACAGUUGUGUUAUCAAUCACACUUACAAAGGGCUGUCGACUACUGAAAACCAUCUAGACCUUCAUCCACAGGAAGAUCUUAUGUGUCAAAUGAGUGUGAAAUGCUGGCUAAAACUACAUUCAUAUCUUUGACUGAUUAGCCUUGAAGUUUGGGAUCACAUAGCAGAAAUUUGUGUCCAAAUCUUACAUCUCCAAUGUGGUCUGAGCUUCUUCAGAUGGCAGGUGAUAUCAAGCCACCAUGAACACUGGCACGAGGCUGACAAUGGAAAGUAAUAGCAGGAAAAAUGGAUUUUUCUCAACAGGUUGAAUACACUGCCAAAAUCCCUUUGCAAUCCACCUGCAGUCUGCAGACUUGCUGUUACAGAGAAGCUGAAGCUAAAUAACCAACGGUGGACUUUAUAUGCUAAAAAUAAAACAGCCCAUAAGACAAAAGACCAGUUUUUAAAUAAUAAUCAAACUUAUAGUCAUAAUAGAAAUGAUUGAUUUCUUUCUGUGAUGAACUUUCUCAAUGAAAUAUUACUCAUUCUCUGAAAUAACUGUAAUGGAUGGUGAUAGAUGCUGGUGCUCAAAUUUAGUUUUUUUUCUGUCAGAAACUCAUCCUUAGGCCUUCUACUUAGCAGCUCUUUUGAUAUGUUAUCAACUCACACCUCUCAUCUCAGAGACUCGUCAAUGGAGUGGGUACUUCUUGAAAAAAACUUCUUCAGAACCUUCAAAAUUUUCAGAAUAAAAUAAUUAUUACUUCUCCUAAUUUGAACAUUUGACCUGGUAGUUGAGAUACAAAGAGUCCUCUUUCUUUACAAACAAGAAAAACCAAACACUAUAGCUUAUAGACAUUAUCUCGGUCUGAAGAAGUCAAUUUCAUAUGCAGCCCAAUAUUGAAUAGUAAGUGUCUUAGUAACAGCAGGAAAAGAGAAUUUUUUGAAUGCUGUGUUUAUCAAGUCACCUACUUAUCUCACUCAGACAAUACUACAUUGAAAGGAAAUUUCUGUGAAUUGGAGAAAUGAGGAUUUGACGACAUGCAGAUAGACAAUUUUCGUAUUUUAUGAACUUAUGCACCAAUUAAAGUUUUUCACCAGAUUAACUAAGUUUAUUACAACCGUUGUCUGAUAUUCUAUACUGUUAAGUUAUAUUUAAUAUUUGUUAUGAGCUUAAGACACAGAGGUAUAUCUAGUUUAAGGGAAUAUCUUCAAAAUUCAUUUGUAAGAGAGCUGUAUUAAACCAAAUAUUCAGAUUAAUGGUGAUGGGAUCAUUUAAUGUCUAAUAUGUCUAACAGCAGAGAAGAAAUCACUGACUAAGACAGUGGUGUCAUCACUAUCUCUUUGCAAUCACUUCUCCAAAUGUUUAUAUAUGCAAGCACUGACUAAAAAUCACCUAAAAUAUUUAAUCUGAUGCUAUUAGAGCUUUUGCGGUUGUUUACUAUGUUUGACCGGCUUAUGUAAGUACUUUAAACUAGUGCAUUGUCUGAAACUAACUUGCAACAGGUGAGUUUAAAGGCUAGUUAAAAACAUGUGUGUUGAUUAUAAAAUGAACAGAAUAAUUUUAAAUUAUUUCAAAAUUUAUGUAAAGAUGAGUGCUUCAAAGUACACAAAAGCAUCUGACUAUUUAUACUCAAAUUUUAAAAUCAUAAAUAUAUAAUAAUUAACCAGUAAUUUUGAAAUAGAUAAUUUCCCUCUAUGUUUUAAUACAUUUAAUAAUGGAGAUUUUCAGGCUAGCAUGUUCUAAAGAAGACAUGCAAAUGUUUAGUGAAAAAAAAAUAAAGAGAAUGCAUGCUGGUAACCCCUUGAAAAAAACUUUUAAUGUGAAGACACUAUUAACACAUUUGAUCUGUCAUGAUGGGUAGCGGAAUAUGAUUUCACAAAAAUUAAAAGAAACUUUAAUUGGAAUGGACCAGAAAUUUAACAAAAAAGUAAUUGAUGAGGGUUAUAUUUCUGGACAUCUAGUACAGGCAAUUAUUGGUAAUAAUACUAUUUCCUUUCAUUGCAACUAUCAGAGAUAAUAAAAUGGCGUUUUGGUAGUCAGUUGAUCAUCUGUCAUUUUCCUGGCAUACCGAAGAAGUUAAAAUAAAAUUGUUUGGGAAGAACACUAUUACUUUUCUGCUGUAGAUUUAUGAUUAUAUUCAGCAUAGGAACAGAUUUCAUGCUGCGCCAUCAAGUGCCUUUAUGUAUUACCCAACAGCUUUCUUCCUGCCAAUCCAAAGAUGUGCCCAGAAAGAAAAAGCUACUCACUGACCCACAUAGUUCUCUCUUGCUCUCAGAACAUUACAUCAGAGCAUUUGUGGUAGAACCCCACAACCAGAUGUGGAGAAAUUUUUGCAGCAGAACAA